rnacentral:rRNA from 1 species
GUAAUGCCUAGGAAUCUGCCUAGUGGUGGGGGAUAACGUUCGGAAACGGACGCUAAUACCACAUACGUCCUACGGGAGAAAGCGGGGGACCUUCGGGCCUCGCGCCAUUAGAUGAGCCUAGGUCGGAUUAGCUAGUUGGUGAGGUAAUGGCUCACCAAGGCGACGAUCCGUAACUGGUCUGAGAGGAUGAUCAGUCACACUGGAACUGAGACACGGUCCAGACUCCUACGGGAGGCAGCAGUGGGGAAUAUUGGACAAUGGGCGAAAGCCUGAUCCAGCCAUGCCGCGUGUGUGAAGAAGGUCUUCGGAUUGUAAAGCACUUUAAGUUGGGAGGAAGGGUAGUAACUUAAUACGUUGCUACUUUGACGUUACCGACAGAAUAAGCACCGGCUAACUUCGUGCCAGCAGCCGCGGUAAUACGAAGGGUGCAAGCGUUAAUCGGAAUUACUGGGCGUAAAGCGCGCGUAGGUGGUUCAGUAAGUUGGAAGUGAAAUCCCCGGGCUCAACCUGGGAACUGCUUUCAAAACUGCUGAGCUUGAGUACGGUAGAGGGUAGUGGAAUUUCCUGUGUAGCGGUGAAAUGCGUAGAUAUAGGAAGGAACACCAGUGGCGAAGGCGACUACCUGGACUGAUACUGACACUGAGGUGCGAAAGCGUGGGGAGCAAACAGGAUUAGAUACCCUGGUAGUCCACGCCGUAAACGAUGUCAACUAGCCGUUGGGAGUCUUGAACUCUUAGUGGCGCAGCUAACGCAUUAAGUUGACCGCCUGGGGAGUACGGCCGCAAGGUUAAAACUCAAAUGAAUUGACGGGGGCCCGCACAAGCGGUGGAGCAUGUGGUUUAAUUCGAAGCAACGCGAAGAACCUUACCUGGCCUUGACAUGCUGAGAACUUUCUAGAGAUAGAUUGGUGCCUUCGGGAACUCAGACACAGGUGCUGCAUGGCUGUCGCAGCUCGUGUCGUGAGAUGUUGGGUUAAGUCCCGUAACGAGCGC